GACUGACAAUUAUGGUGAAAUGAGCAGAAGCUGCUGAGAAUUGUGCUCAUAAGAGGUAAAAGGGCUGAAAAUUUUGCAGAAAAGAGGUAAAUCAGCAGAAUUUCUGCAGAAAAGAGGGAAAGAAGCAGAACAUUGCGCUGAAAAGAGGUGAAUGAGCAGAAUUUCUGCUGAAAAGAGGCAGAACAACCUGGUUCUGCUCAAAUUCACCAAUCAGAGGUACUGCUUCUGUCUGCUUCAUCAGGCUGUUUACUUGUAUGUAUUUCUGCCAUGUGGUGUUGACAAGAAUCUGAGGUCCAUAUUAGAAAAGCUGCUAAAAUCAUAAAACUUUGCAGAAUUGUAAUAAAUUAGCAAUAUAAAUUACAGGUCUGUGAUAGUGUAUAAAUUUGUAGUGAAAAAAAAAACGUGGACCAAGGUGGGAUUGAACCCACGACCUUUGAGCUGCAGAGCCGUGUCAUUACUGAUUGCGCCACCUGGAAAGGGGGCGGCGGUCUGAAAGACAGAUACUUGGGCAGUCAGAAAUAGAUCGCGGUGAGAGGCGAAAAACGCCGGUUUUUG
ensembl:lncRNA